rnacentral:rRNA from 1 species
AUUGAACGCUGGCGGCAGGCCUAACACAUGCAAGUCGAACGGUAACAGGAAUCAGCUUGCUGAUUCGCUGACGAGUGACGGACGGGUGAGUAAUGUCUGGGAAACUGUCUGAUGGAGGGGGAUAACUACUGGAAACGGUAGCUAAUACCGCAUAACGUCGCAAGACCAAAGAGGGGGACCUUCGGGCCUCUUGCCAUCGGAUGUGCCCAGAUGGGAUUAGCUAGUAGGUGGGGUAAUGGCUCACCUAGGCGACGAUCCCUAGCUGGUCUGAGAGGAUGACCAGCCACACUGGAACUGAGACACGGUCCAGACUCCUACGGGAGGCAGCAGUGGGGAAUAUUGCACAAUGGGCGCAAGCCUGAUGCAGCCAUGCCGCGUGUAUGAAGAAGGCCUUCGGGUUGUAAAGUACUUUCAGCGAGGAGGAAGGUGUUGAGGUUAAUAACCUUAGCAAUUGACGUUACUCGCAGAAGAAGCACCGGCUAACUCCGUGCCAGCCGCCGCUGUAA